rnacentral:tRNA from 3 species
UUAUUGCUAGGUUACUUAAACUGGUAAAUUGUGGAUUUGCAGAAUACACGUUAGUGUAGCAGUAAA